UUAUUUUUGCAGGAGCAAGAAGACAACAAUGGCAAAUAUAAAGGCGCUUCUAAAACUACUCAUCAUCUGUCCUAUAAUCGUGAUGACGAGUCUCAGGCUAUAUAAGAACUGUGAGAGAUGUGAUAUUCCUGCAGAAGUCAUCAAGACACAGCCGAAGCCUUACUGGCCGUGGUUGCCAGGGUACAAGAGUGACCAGAAAGGGUACGUGUGGCCGCUGUACUUCACAGGAUGACGAGAAUGUGGUUCAGGAUUUGUUGAUGACUAUAUUGGAAUGGAUUUUAAGUUAUUAUUGGCCUGCAUAUUAAGAAAAAAUACGCAGCUCUUUAUUUCACCAAUGAUUGUUUUGUAUCAUUUUUUAUUUAUAUUUGUGCUGAUAUUUUGUAUUAUUAAUUUGUAAGUAGUUUGUUUUCUAAUAAAUAACUUUUGUAUCAAAUA